rnacentral:rRNA from 1 species
CCGGCGAUGUCCGAAUGGGGAAACCCAGUGUGAUUCGUCACACUAUCGUUAACUGAAUACAUAGGUUAACGAGGCGAACCGGGGGAACUGAAACAUCUAAGUACCCCGAGGAAAAGAAAUCAACCGAGAUUCCCCCAGUAGCGGCGAGCGAACGGGGAGCAGCCCAGAGUCUGAAUCAGCUUGUGUGUUAGUGGAACGGUCUGGAAAGUCCGACGGUACAGGGUGAUAGUCCCGUACACCAAAAUGCACAGGCUGUGAACUCGAAGAGUAGGGCGGGACACGUGGUAUCCUGUCUGAAUAUGGGGGGACCAUCCUCCAAGGCUAAAUACUCCUGACUGACCGAUAGUGAACCAGUACCGUGAGGGAAAGGCGAAAAGAACCCCGGCGAGGGGAGUGAAAAAGAACCUGAAACCGUGUACGUACAAGCAGUGGGAGCACCUUCGGGUGUGACUGCGUACCUUUUGUAUAAUGGGUCAGCGACUUAUAUUCUGUAGCAAGGUUAACCGUAUAGGGGAGCCGCAGGGAAACCGAGUCUUAACUGGGCGUUAAGUUGCAGGGUAUAGACCCGAAACCCGGUGAUCUAGCCAUGGGCAGGUUGAAGGUUGGGUAACACUAACUGGAGGACCGAACCGACUAAUGUUGAAAAAUUAGCGGAUGACUUGUGGCUGGGGGUGAAAGGCCAAUCAAACCGGGAGAUAGCUGGUUCUCCCCGAAAGCUAUUUAGGUAGCGCCUCGUGAACUCAUCUUCGGGGGUAGAGCACUGUUUCGGCUAGGGGGUCAUCCCGACUUACCAACCCGAUGCAAACUACGAAUACCGAAGAAUGUUAUCACGGGAGACACACGGCGGGUGCUAACGUCCGUCGUGAAGAGGGAAACAACCCAGACCGCCAGCUAAGGUCCCAAAGUCAUGGUUAAGUGGGAAACGAUGUGGGAAGGCACAGACAGCCAGGAUGUUGGCUUAGAAGCAGCCAUCAUUUAAAGAAAGCGUAAUAGCUCACUGGUCGAGUCGGCCUGCGCGGAAGAUGUAACGGGGCUAAACCAUGCACCGAAGCUGCGGCAGCGACACUAUGUGUUGUUGGGUAGGGGAGCGUUCUGUAAGCCUGCGAAGGUG